GACGUAGGGCGCGAGCGUUGUCCGGAUUUAUUGGGCGUAAAGAGCUCGUAGGCGGCUUGUCGCGUCGGAUGUGAAAGCCCGGGGCUUAACUCCGGGUCUGCAUUCGAUACGGGCAGGCUAGAGUUCGGUAGGGGAGAUCGGAAUUCCUGGUGUAGCGGUGAAAUGCGCAGAUAUCAGGAAGAACACCAAUGGCGAAGGCAGCUCUCUGGGACGGUACUGACGCUGAGACGCGAAAGCGUGGGGAGCGAACAGG
rnacentral:rRNA from 1 species